UGGGGGUGCUUGAUUCGCGAUCAGAAUCAGAAUCAGAAUAGGAAUCGAAAUAGAUUGGAAUGGGAAUCAGAAUGCCCAAAUCCCUCAAAGUAUUUGGUUCAUGAUUGGAAUCAGAAUAAAAAUUUGAAUCCAUAGGACAGAGUAGGGAUUGAGUUUUGGGAGUGCUUAGUUGGGGAGAGUGGGGGUCUAGAAUCAGAAUGGGAAUGGAUG
rnacentral:lncRNA from 1 species